rfam:Magnetospirillum sp. XM-1 isolate XM1 genome assembly, chromosome: I
GGUCUGCUGCGCGGUGCGUCAGGCAGCCAAUGUCCCUGGGGCCAAUAACUUCCUCUCGGGGGCUGUCCCUGUCGGAGCCCUGGUUCCGGUAUAUGGCCACCCACCUGCGUAAGCAGGCCACGGAGGACUUGCAUGGCCAACGGCCGAGGCGGCGCCGCU